UACGUAGGGUGCGAGCGUUGUCCGGAAUUAUUGGGCGUAAAGGGCUCGUAGGCGGUUUGUCGCGUCGGGAGUGAAAUCCACUGGCUUAACUGGUGGCUUGCUUUCGAUACGGGCAGACUGGAGGUAUGCAGGGGAGAACGGAAUUCCUGGUGUAGCGGUGAAAUGCGCAGAUAUCAGGAGGAACACCGGUGGCGAAGGCGGUUCUCUGGGCCUUACCUGACGCUGAGGUAGCGAAAGCGUGGGGAGCGAACAGG
rnacentral:rRNA from 1 species